rnacentral:misc_RNA from 1 species
GAUGAAGAACGCAGUGAAAUGCGAUAAGUAAUGUGAAUUGCAGAAUUCAGUGAAUCAUCGAAUCUUUGAACGCACAUUGAGCCCGCCAGUAUUCUGGCGGGCAUGCCUGUCCGAGCGUCAUUUCAACCAUCAAGCCCCCGGGCUUGUGUUGGGGACCUGCGGCUGCCCGCAGGCCCUGAAAACCAGUGGCGGGCUCGCUGUCACACCGAGCGUAGUAGCAAUCACCUCGCUCAGGGCGUGCUGCGGGUUCCGGCCGUUAAACAGCCUUACAAAACCCAAGGUUGACCUCGGAUCAGGUAGGAAGACCCGCUGAACUUAAGCAUAUCAAUAAGCGGAGGA